GACGAACGCUCGCGGCGCGCUUAACACAUGCAAGUCGAGCGAGAACCAGUCCUUCGGGACUGGGGACAGCGGCGAACGGGUGAGUAACACGUGGGUAAUCUGCCCUCGGCACCGGAAUAGCCCGGGGAAACCCGGAUUAAUGCCGGAUGGCCUCUCUGCCCCUCGGGGCGGCGAGAAAAGGUAGCUUCGGCCUCCGGCCGAGGAUGAGCCCGCGGCCGAUUAGCUUGUUGGUGGGGUAACGGCUCACCAAGGCGACGAUCGGUAGCCGGUCUGAGAGGACGAGCAGCCACACUGGGACUGAGACACGGCCCAGACUCCUACGGGAGGCAGCAGUGGGGAAUCUUGCGCAAUGGGCGAAAGCCUGACGCAGCGACGCCGCGUGCGGGAAGAAGGCCUUCGGGUUGUAAACCGCUUUCAGGAGGGACGAAGCCACUCGGGUUAAUAGCCUAGAGGGUGACGGUACCUCCAGAAGAAGCCCCGGCUAACUACGUGCCAGCCGCCGCAGUAAAAC
rnacentral:rRNA from 1 species